CCUGUAAUGCAGCCGCCGAUAGGCGCAGGUCACAAGCCCUGAUAAAUGCAGAGUGCAGA
rnacentral:ribozyme from 2 species